AACAAAUACAUCAGGCCAAAAAGCUCUUUUUGGACCCUGGAUCUAGGCUGUGAAACUUAUUCUGCAGCCGACCUCGAACGAGCUUUUGCUCUCUUUCUGGGUCGGCCAGCCUGAAAUGCAUCCCACCGCGGCAAGGGAAAGAAAGGCGUGAUAGUUUGACCUCCGAGUCGAUCUUUUCGCCGAAGAAAAAUCUCCCCGCGGCGAUUAGCAGGACCCGACCGAAAGCGACCGGCGCCGGAGGCCAAUUCUCCGGUUGGUUGUCUUUUGAUCUUCA
rnacentral:misc_RNA from 1 species